rnacentral:lncRNA from 1 species
GGGGUCCCUGAGGGUCCUGGGGGCACUGGGGGGGUCCCUGUGCCCUUGGGGGUCACUGGGGGUUGUGGUGGCACUGGGGGACAGACCUGGGAAUGGGAACAGGGACCCCUGGAAUGGGAACAGGGACCCUCUGGAAUGUGGACAGACCUGGGAAUGGGAACAGGGACCCUCUGGAAUGUGGGCAGGGACCCCUUGAAUGGGGACAGGGACCCCUUGGAAUGUGGGAAGAGACUCCUGGGAAUGGGGACAGACCUGGGAAUGGGAACAGGGACCCUCUGGAAUGGGAACAGGCCUUGGAAUGGGAAAAGGGAUCCCUGGAAUGGGAACAGGGACCCCUUGGAAUGUGGGAAGAGACUCCUGGGAAUGGGGACAGGGACCCUCUGGAAUGGGGAUAGACCUGGGAAUGGGAGCAGGGAUCUUCUGGAAUGGGAACAGGGACCCCUGGAAUGGGAACAGGGACCCCUUGGAAUGGGAACUGGGACCCUUGGGAUGGGAAGAGGGACCCCUGGGAAUGGGGACAGGCCUUGGAAUGGGGACAGGGACCCUCUGGAUUGGGAACAGGGACCCCCUGGAAUGGGAAAAGGGAUCCCUGGAAUGGGAUCAGCCACCCUUGGAAUGGGAACAGGGACCCCUGGAAUGGGAAAAGGGACCCUUGGAAUGGGAACUGGGACCCUUGGGAUGGGAACAGAGCUUGGAAUGGGGACAGGGACCUCUGGAAUGUGGGAAGAGACUCCUGGGAAUGGGGACAGGGACCCUCUGGAUUGUGGGCAGGGACCCCCUGGAAUGGGAAAAGGGACCCCUGGAAUGGGAACAGGGACCCCCUGGGAUGGGAAAAGGGAUCCCUGGAAUGGGAACAACCUUGGGAAUGGGAACAGGGACCCUCUGGAAUGUGGGAACAGACUCCUGGGAAUGGGGACAGACCUUGGAAUGGGGACAGGGACCCUCUGGAUUGGGAACAGGGACCCCCUGGAAUGGGAAAAGGGAUCCCUGGAAUGGGAUCAGCCCUUGGAAUAUGAACAGGGACCCCCUGGAAUGGGAACAACCUCGGGAAUGGGAACAGGAACCCCUUGGGAUGGGAACAGGGACCCCCUGGAAUGGGAUCAGCCCUUGGAAUGGGAACAGGGACCCCCUGGAAUGGGAACAACCUUGGGAAUGGGAACAGGGACCCUCUGGAAUGGGAAAAGGGAUCCCUGGAAUGGGAUCAGCCCUUGGAAUAUGAACAGGGACCCCCUGGAAUGGGAACAACCUCGGGAAUGGGAACAGGAACCCCUUGGGAUGGGAACAGGGACCCCCUGGAAUGGGAUCAGCCCUUGGAAUGGGAACAGGGACCCCCUGGAAUGGGAACAACCUUGGGAAUGGGAACAGGGACCCUCUGGAAUGGGAAAAGGGAUCCCCCCUGGAACGACUCGGGUGGGAGGGGGGUCUACUUGGGGUG